GUCGUUGUUGUUGUUAGUUCCGUUGUCGUUUUAGGAGUAGUUGCUUUCAUUGGUUUUGCUGUCUGGAAGAACAAACAAAUCCAGAAGAAGAGAGAAGGUGCAAAUGAUGUUGAGAAAUUAGUGAAGAUCCUUAAUCAAAACAGCUUGAACUUCAAGUAUUCGACACUUGACAAAGCCACAGGUUCAUUUGAUGAGGCCAACAAGCCCGGGCAAGGUGGAUUUGGCACAGUUUAUAAGGGUGUUUUGGCUGACGGGAGAGAGAUCGCUGUCAAAAGGCUGUUCUUCAACAACAAACACAGAGCUGCAGAUUUUUAUAACGAGGUUAACAUAAUCAGUAGCGUCCAGCACAAAAACUUGACAAAGUUAUUGGGAUGCAGCUGCUCAGGAACGGAAAACCUUCUUGUAUACGAGUUACUCCCUAACAAGA